UGGUGAGAUUCUUAGAUUAGUAAGUUCUUUUAUUUCGAUCUGUAUAUCGUGAAUUUGUUUCUAUUUUGUUCUUCAUCUUGGUUAGGGUUUGCGAUUCGAUCGGUUGGGUUUCGUCAUCCUCUUUGCGAUUUUCGAUCUAGGGUUUCAAUUUUACUUAAUCGUUCCUUAUUAUAUUUGUUGUAGUGAUGUUGAUAUCUACAAGGAAGCGGGUGAAACCGUCGUUGAGAAGCCAUAACAACUGAAGAUAAAUUUGAAUCUGUGAGUCAACCAACAAAACAAGACUGUGAUUGUACCCACGGCUUGCCAAAUAAAGUCUUUCGACAGACAGAGGGACUAAGAAACGUUGGAAUGAUCAAAACGACCCACGACUUGCCAAAAUAAAGUCUUUAGACAAAGACUAAGAAACGUGGGAUGGAUUAAACGACCCACGGCUAAAAAAGGUUGGAUGGAUUAAACGACCCACAUGCUUGCCCAAAAAAAGUUAAUAGACAGAGACAGAGACUAUGAAUGGUUGGAUGGAUUAAACGACCCACGGCUUACAAGAAAGUCUUUAAACAUAUAAAAUACAAUGAAUAUAUCGAUGGAUAAAACUGACAAACGGUACACCGUAAAGUCCUUAGACAAAGACUUUGAAUUACACUUAUCAAAAAAAAAAAAAAAAGACUUUGAACACUCGGCUUGUAAUGACUUCGAGUUACCCACAACUUAUAAAGUCUUUAAACAAUGAUUUGAGUUACCCUCUGUCUUUGUUGGUGGUAGUGCAUGUCUAAGCAAAGGAUGUUUGGGGGUUGUAUACGAUACUUUAGUUACCCACGGCUUAAGAAAACAAUAAACGGCUGAAGAAAAGACUUUAGACCGAGACUGAUUAUACCCAUGGCUUCGCUAUGAAACGUUUGGAUGGGUCAAACGACCCACGUCUUACCAAACAGUCUUUAGACAGACAAUGAAUUUUUGGAUUGAUAGAAGGACCAACGGCUUACAAGAACAUCUUU